CCUGACCUUAAAGCGUAUAUGCGAAUUUUGGAAUUAAAUAGAAAUAUUCAAGACUUACUUAUGAAACGAGUUGGCACGUAGAAACACAUUUAAAAGUGCCUUUGGCUCAUCUGAAUAGCCGCCACUGUUGAUUUAAUGAAGCAAAGUUGGACACUAUAAUUCUGAUUUCUUGAGUGCGGAACAUUGACAUAUUACCUGAGUAUACCGAAUUGAGAGACAUAACAAAUACUGUCAAUAGGAGAUCUCACUCAAAUGGUUAAGAAUGGAGGACAUAAUAACUUUGAGAUUUAGAAUAUAAAUUGAAAUUCCAUGUGAAAGUUGA